GGUUGUGAGCCACCAUGUGGUUGCUGGGAUUUGAACUUCGGACCUUCGGAAGAGCAGUCGGGUGCUCUUACCACUGAGCCAUCUCUCCAGCCCCAAAACCUUACUUUUCUUAUAGGAGCUCAUUUGAUGCCAACUCAUGGUUUCUCAAAGUGUGGUCAAAAUACGACCUGCCUCAGAAUCCUCAGGGAUGCUCCUUAAAACUGCCAGUCGAGCAAUAGUGGCACACACCUUUAAUCCCAGCACUUGGGAGGCAGAGGCAGGCAGAUUUCUGAGUUCGAGGCCAGCCUGGUCUACAGAGUGAGUUUCAGGACAGCCAGGAUUACACAGAGAAACCCUGUCUCGAAAAAAAAAAAAAACCAAAAAAACCAAACAACCAAACCUGCCAGUUGAUAAGACACCAGGGUAGGCUGGGAUUUAAUACUGCCUCUAGCGUUUUUGGAGUGCCUUAACUUGUAAGAGCCACAGCUGUGGUCAUUGGUACAGUUUCUGUUGUUAGGAUCACAAGGCUAGCAUGAACAUGUGAAAUCUCAGGUCUUAAAGAUUAUAAUAAAUAAGAAUCACAGAAGUUCAAAGCCAUGGCAUCUUUACUCAGGUUAGCUACAUUUUUGUUUUUGUCACUAAGACUUACGUCAUUGGUACAUCAUUAUUUUUUUUCCCAAAAAUUGAAUUGUCACACGCUUAGUAACUUGAGUGCUGCCCUGCCAAACGGAUGACCACUGGCCUCUUCAAUAGGGACCUCGCUUGCUCUCAAGUCUGACUACAUACACGAGUUACACUCUUGAGAGUCUAGCUAUUGAAGCAAAGGGUGUGUGCAUUUCCUUUGAGAAGUGAGAGCCCAACCCAGUUUCAGACCCUCCGAAUCCAAACUAGACAGAAAAAAAAAAAAAAAAAAAAACUGACUCACGGGUGCUGGUUUAUAUAUAAACUGUAAGCGGGAAGGCAGCUGUGCAUCAAGCCAUCAGUGUUGCUGUCUAAAGCAACAGUCUGAAAGGUGAAGUGUAACCUAAGGACAUGUUAAGUAAGGAGAACAAAUGACCACGGUAUACUAGGAAAUUAUGUAAGAACCCUAAAUACCCAAGGAAAAACAGAGCCAAAAGUGCCCUUCCCCCACCCCCAAGGAUGCUCAGAUCUUGGAGAACUGAACUCAUAUCACAUAGCAGGGAGGUGAUUUGCAUGAGCUCAACCAGGUUGUCCACUCCAGGCAAGCAGGAAACAAACCUUCAGAGUGCAAACAAAUGCAGCCUACCAGCACAGCUAACAGGGUCCACAGAAAAGCAAGCUGUUCAGUGGGAGUCCUGUGGGUUUCAGGCAAGCAGAAUCUCUCAGAGCUCAGGCGUGUAUUCAUUCACAUAGCCCAGAUAACAGACUGAAGCUAUAGGGUGGCUGGGGAAAACCUAUAUUGGGAUACAGUUGGAGCUGAGAACUCCCAUCAAAUGUCCCCACGGCCACAAAACUGACCCGGUAGGCAGAGGCACAGAGAGCAAGAGUACAGACUGACUCCAACCUACAAAUCAGUUCACAGUUUAUAAUUUUCUGGCCUUAUAAUGGUACAAAAGUAUAUUCGCGAAACUAUUCUGCCCCUUACCUUGGGCAUAGCAUUCAAUAAACUACAUGAGCUGAACACUCGGGAAAUAAGGACUGUGUUUGAUGGGUUUUGCCCAAGUACAGGCUAAUGUCCUGAGCACAGUGAAGACAGGUUAGGCUGAGUUAGAUAUUCGAUGUUAGGUGAGUCACAUACAUUUCAGCUUAGCCACAUUUUCCAUUGUUAAGGGUUUACGGGCACCACCCCAUUUUAAUAGAGGAGUAACUGCAGUCUUUCUAGGUCGCUGCUCUAGCGCCCUCUACCGAGAACGCUGAAAAUUGUGCUUAACCUAAAGAACAUGUAUUUGAAGCUGAGAGACAAUACAUUGGUAACUGGCACAAAUCUAGUUUCCUGGUAUUAGCAUUACCUUGGCAUUACAAUUCUGUACCUCUUGACCCCUAGGAACAAUUUUCUACACAAUAAAAAAUAAUAAGAAGGCAUUAGCAAAUAGACACCAUAUUUUUUGAAAGAACAAGGGUCUCUCUCUCUCUCCACACACACACACACACACACACACACACACACACACACCAAUUUUCUAUUUUUUUUUCAGAUGAACUUUAUAGAGUUUGUAAAACUCAAAGUCCUUAAGUCAACAGAUUAAGAUAAGGUCUAGUUUGAUAUGUGAAAUUGUGUAUCUGUCAAUCUUUGUCUCUUACCUGACUAGUAUGUGUGUGUGCGUGCCUCUGUGUGUGCAUGCGUGUGUGCAUGCAUCUGUGCGUGCCUGUGUGUGCCUGUGUGUGUGUAUGCGUCCGUGUGUGUGCAUGCGUGUGUGUGCAUGCGUGUGUACGUGCCUGUGUGUGUGUGCAUGCGUGUGUGCGUGCCUCUGUGUGUGUGUGUGCAUGUGUGUGUGCAUGCGUCUGUGCGUGCCUGUGUGUGCGUAUGCGUCCGUGUGUGUGCAUGCGUGUGUGCGUGCCUCUGUGUGUGUGUGUGCAUCUUCUGAAUCUCUCUGUGAACUUAUUUUUAUUUCAGUUUCUAUACUAGUCACUCUUGCUCUUUCAUUCACAAAUGACUAUGAUUUUCUGGUUGGAACUUGCUAUAGUAUGUCCAGAAGGUGUCCAUGGUCCAUACUGUUGGCUCCUUUUGAGUUCCAUACCGUUGGCCAUGCCUUUAUGUUAUUAAAACUAUGAGGGAACUGCCCAUACCAAAGCACUUUUGCCUUAUGUAGUUAAAACCCUUAAAGAGGUAUUUAUUUUCACAUUGAGAAUAACAACUUCUUUUCUUCCAGUUUUUCCUUUGGUUUCUUUUCUCAAAUCAUAUUCCCUGAAUCUUCUCUACACAUCCUACCGAAUGUUUCUUGCUUUGAAGACAUAAUAGGAUUCAAAAGGACAUUGUAGGACAUGUGCCACACGUCUGUAGCUACAGCCCUCUGAAAUAAACAAAAAUAAAAAAAUAAGGCAAAUUUUAAAGGCUUCUUGUAAAAUUAGUUCCAACCAGAGGAGGACUCCUCUAAGAAAAGUGGAGAUGGAGUGUCACCACGAGGCUUUCCCUAAUGAAAAAACAAAACUGAGUUCUUCAAGCUGAAGGGAGGAGAUGCUAGUUCCUCACAGCAAAGCACACGAGAGCAUGAAACCUAAAGUUAAGUUGUCAGGUCCAAAGCACUGAUGUGAAACAAUGAACGACGACAAAACAGGAAACAUGCAGAAGGACAGUGGUUCCCAUAACUAGCGUCGAGAGAGCUGGGUCCUCAAAUGCAGAGGAGUGGAGAUGACCCUUAUCUCUGCUUCAGUGACUAUAGACAGGGAAGAGUGAUAAAGACAUCCAGUAUCAACCUCAAGUAUACUCAUGUGCUUAUGCACACACACACGGAACCUACACACAUAUAUACAAAGCACACACACAGUCACACACAUAUACACACACAGCACACACCUGCAUACUUAUAUAAAGCAUAUACAGUCACACAUACAGCACACACUUGCACCUACACACACAUAUACAAAGCAUAUACAAUCACACACACAUGCACAUACACACACACUUGCAGCUGCACACACAAAGCAUGCAGUCAUUCACACACAUAGCACACACUUGUACCUGCACACAUACACACACACAAUUGCACCUGCACACACACACAAUUGCACCUGCACACACACAUACAAAACAUACAUACAGUCACACACAUAGCACACACUUGCACCUGCACACAUACACAGUCACACAUACAUACACACACACACAUGCUGCACAUAUACAGAGCAUAUACAGUCACACACACAUACAGAGUGAAAACAGAAAUUCAAAUCACAAUGAGGUAUUUCCUAAUACUUGUUAGUCUGGCUAUAGCUACUGUUAUGGAAAAGAUGAAAACACCCACCAAGGUGGCUCAUGCCCCUAAUUCCAGAACUCUGAAUAGAGUGUACUUUUCUGAGGCCAUCUUGUGACCCACUUCAUGGGAAGUCAGAGAACUGUUGCAGGCCCUGCUUGAGGGGAAAUCAUCACGAGAAAAGUCAGAGGAACCUGCCUGCUUCUCCUGUUCUCAAAUGUUCUCAAAUGUCAAUGCAUUUGGGGAUAGUGAGCUGAGCCCUGUCAUGUAUUUUACAGGAAAUUACAUAAAAACCUCAUUUUUAUGUUAUUGAUUAAUAUGAGUCAGCAAUGAAAAGAAAAUAACUUUAAGAGCUUAGACAAGGGUUGAAGAGAUGGCUCAGUGGUUAAGAACACUGACUGCUCUUCCGGAGGUCCUGAGUUCAAUUCCCAGUAACCACAUGGUGGCUCACAACCAUCUGUAAUGGGAUCAGAUGCCCUCUUCUGGCGUGUCUGAGACAAAUACAGUGUACUCAUAUACAUAAAAUAUUUUUUUUAAGGAAUAGCCGUGUCUCAAAGGGAGCUCCUAGCUGCCAGGCAUAUAAAAGUGGGCAACCUUUAACUGGUGGGGGGCGUGAUCAUUUCAGCCCAAGUGGGAUUCUGUUUUACUUGCUACAAUGGCUAGUAUGAUAAGCUAAAGAAUGGGGUUCUACGUCUUGGGUGAGCACGUGAGCCAAGUUGAAAGAAUUGUUUGGCAACUUGUUAGAAAAAUGAAACAUGUAUUUACCUUACAAUUUAGCAACUACACAUUUAGGUAGUUAUUGCAGAGAAAUAGACAUGCCGUGUCCCCAGUGUAUGACUUAGUGAUUUAUUUGAUUUUAUAACAAGUAUUCAGUAGACAUCUGUGCUUCAAACUCUAAUCUCUUCCUCAGGGCCACUGCUACCCUUGCAACAUGCUGGGCACUGACAGUGACCUGCCACCCUCCCACACUCUGACCACGGGGCCACCACUUACUGGGUAGGUGUCAAUACAUUUAAAGUAGGUUGGCCUAAGCUCUAAUGCUUGGAAACUCAGACACAUCAAAUGCAUUUGUGACUUGUGACAUUUUCUACUUUGCAGUAGGUUUGGUUUUUUGGUUGUUUGUUUUUGUUGGUUGGUUGGUUCGUUAAUUGGGGUAUUUGUUAGUCUGUUUUGAGACAAUAGGAUUUCUCUGUGUUACCCUGGCUGUCCUGGAACUAUCUCUGUAGACCAGUCUGGCCUUGAACUCACAAAGAUCCACCAGUUUUCGCCACCCCAGUGCUAAGAUAGGCGUGCCUCACCACCACACAGCUUUGCAAUAGGUCAUUUAGACUACAGUCCCACUGUCAGCUAAGGGAAAAAAGUCUUCAGAACAGCUGUGCACGUGCACACACACAAAAUGAAAUACUGGCACAUGGCACAAAAUGGACUACAUGCAACACUACUGUGUCAAACAAAAGAAGUCAUAUAAAAAAAUAUACAAUAUGGCUGUCU
rnacentral:lncRNA from 1 species